rnacentral:rRNA from 1 species
CGUAGGCGGCUUGGUCAGUCCCGUGUGAAAUCCCUCGGCUCAACUGAGGAACUGCACGGGAAACUGCCUGGCUUGAGUUCGGGAGAGGGAAGCGGAAUUCCGGGUGUAGCGGUGAAAUGCGUAGAUAUCCGGAGGAACACCGGUGGCGAAGGCGGCUUCCUGGACCGACACUGACGCUGAGGCGCGAAAGCUAGGGGAGCAAACG